AAAAAAAUAAAAAAAAUCAAUCUUGUGAAGAAAUUAAGAAGAUGGGUUGUUUCAGUGAGAGUCUGUCUUCAUUCUUCAACAACAGAUGGCUCGUUUUUGUGGCUGCAAUGUGGGUACAAUCCUGUGCCGGAAUUGGGUAUUUAUUCGGCAGCAUAUCUCCGACGAUCAAAACUUCUUUGAACUAUAACCAGAGGCAGGUUGCGAGGUUAGGUGUGGCCAAAGAUUUAGGCGACAGCGUCGGAUUUCUCGCCGGAGGUUUGUCUGAGAUUUUGCCCUUGUGGGGUGUUCUUCUUAUCGGCGCUGUCCAGAAUUUUGUUGGGUAUGGUUGGGUUUGGCUUGUUGUUACUGGUAUAGCUCCUGUUUUGCCGUUAUGGGCUAUGUGCAUUCUUAUAUUUGUGGGAACAAACGGCGAGACAUAUUUCAACACGGCAGCACUCGUCUCUUGUGUGCAAAACUUCCCGAAAAGCCGUGGCCCGAUUGUCGGAAUACUCAAGGGCUUUGCUGGACUCGGCGGUGCGAUCUUAACUCAAAUGUACGCCGUGAUGAACUCUCCGGACCACGCUUCGCUCAUAUUCAUGGUUGCAGUGGGGCCCACAAUGGUGGCAAUUGCUCUGAUGUUCAUCAUCAGGCCGGUUGGUGGCCACAAGCAGAUAAGAUCGUCCGACGGUUUCAGUUUCUCGAUUGUGUACAGCGUUUGUCUAAUCCUGGCUGCUUACUUGAUGGGUGUCAUGCUUGUUGAAGAUCUUGUCGAUUUAAGCGAGACCGUUGUUAUAAUCUUCACCGUCGGUCUUUUAGUGCUAUUGUUGAUCCCCAUUGCAAUUCCGGUCGCAUUGACUUUUUCUUCGCGGUGGUCAAGGCCUUCGGUCGAAGAGGCGCUUUUAUCCGACUCGCAGAAACAGGAUCCCGGAAAAUCCGAAGACGACUCGCAAGACAUCAUUUUUAGUGAGGUCGAGGAUGAGAAGCCGAAAGAAGUGGAUUUGCUUCCUGCUCAUGAGAGGCAGAAGAGAAUUGCUCAACUGCAGACGAGGUUAGCGCAAGCUGCUGCGGAAGGAGCCGUUAGAAUCCAGAAACGUAGGCCCCGCAGAGGGGAGGACUUCACUAUGAUGGAGGCUUUGAUAAAGGCUGAUCUUUGGCUUAUGUUUUUCUCCCUUCUGUUGGGCUCUGGUUCUGGUUUGACUGUCAUUGAUAAUUUAGGUCAAAUGAGCCAGUCUUUGGGGUACGACAAUACACACGUAUUCGUUUCCAUGAUCAGCAUCUGGAACUUUCUUGGCCGUAUUGGCGGUGGCUACUUCUCCGAGCAAAUCGUCAGGGACUAUGCAUAUCCAAGCCUGUAGCAAUGGCAGCUGCACAAGUUAUAAUGGCAGUCGGACAUUUCUUCUUUGCUAUGGGCUGGCCUGGAGCAAUGUACAUCGGUACACUUCUCGUGGGCCUCGGAUAUGGGGCCCACUGGGCCAUAGUACCCGCUGCUGCUUCGGAGCUCUUUGGAUUGAAAAAAUUCGGAGCUCUAUACAAUUUUCUCACACUAGCGAAUCCUGCUGGUUCGUUAAUUUUUUCGGGGGUUAUAGCGAGCAGCAUAUACGACAGAGAGGCGGAGAAACAAGCUCAGGGGCGGUUACCUGGAAUUAGCCGUGGUUUGUUAUCUUCGUUUUCGAGCUACGUUCGUCUCGAAGAGCCAUUAAAGUGCGACGGUGCUAUUUGCUUCUUCUUGACUUCGUUGAUCAUGUCUGGGCUCUGUAUUAUCGCGUUUAUGUUGAGCAUGAUUCUUGUGUACCGAACGAAGCCGGUUUACGCGCAACUGUACGGUAGAUCGAGGAGGUAGAGUUGAGGAAGUGUUUAUUAUGUGUCUGCAUGUUUUUGUAUUUCUUUAAGUAGUAUAUUUAUAUAUAUUCUUUGAAGGGGCUAUUUGAUGGUCUGAGUGAUAUAUUUGUGUUAUAAUAUAUUUGUGUUUUUAUGUAUUUCUUUCUAUUCUUUGGACAAUAUUAUUCGGGAAAUUUUGAGCAGAAUAAAACAGAUCGAUGAGAUGAUUCAUGAUUGUUAUGAAUGAAAUAUUCUUGGUUUGUAUGGUUUAUUAA